UUUGUAUAAUGGGUCAGCGACUUAUAUUUUGUAGCGAGCUUAACCGUAUAGGGGAGGCGAAGGGAAACCGAGUGUUAACUGCGCGACGAGUUGCAAGGUAUAGACCCGAAACCCGGUGAUCUAUCCAUGGCCAGGAUGAAGGUGAGGUAACACUUACUGGAGGUCCGAACCCACGUAUGUUGAAAAAUGCGGGGAUGAGCUGUGGAUAGGAGUGAAAGGCUAAUCAAACCGGGAGAUAGCUGGUUCUCCUCGAAAGCUAUUUAGGUAGCGCCUCGUGUCUCACUCUCGGGGGUAGAG
rnacentral:rRNA from 1 species